CCUUUGUGAUGGGGACAGGGUCUGAAAAACUUGGAAACUUUGUGUUAUCAGCUUCAUCUUUCAUACACAGGAGCUAGGAGUUAAAAAGCAUCACUAUAUAU